UACGGGGGGGGCAAGCGUUGUUCGGAAUUACUGGGCGUAAAGGGCUCGUAGGCGGCCUUCUAAGUCGAACGUGAAAUCCCCGGGCUCAACCCGGGAACUGCGUCCGAUACUGGGAGGCUUGAAUCCGGGAGAGGGAUGCGGAAUUCCAGGUGUAGCGGUGAAAUGCGUAGAUAUCUGGAGGAACACCGGUGGCGAAGGCGGCAUCCUGGACCGGCAUUGACGCUGAGGCGCGAAAGCCAGGGGAGCAAACGGG
rnacentral:rRNA from 1 species